GCGCGCUUAGCUCAGCGGUAGAGCAGUGCUUUUACACAGCAAAGGUCGGGGGUUCAACUCCCUCAGCGCGCA
rfam:Candidatus Liptonbacteria bacterium RIFCSPLOWO2_01_FTLL_53_13 rifcsplowo2_01_scaffold_26819, whole genome shotgun sequence.